rnacentral:rRNA from 1 species
CUAGCACUAAAAUCGCUGAUUAAAACUUAAAGAGCAUGGCGGUCACAAAAAAGUUCAGGGGAACUUACCAAGUAAUAGACAACCCACAAGUUACCUUUCUUAUUUUACAGUUUGUAUACCGCCGUCUAAGUAUUACUUAUGGUAGUGCUAAAAUAGAUUACUAGAAGGACAGGUCAUGGUGCAGCUAAUAGAUAAGUUUAGGCGAGUUACAAUAAAAAAUUUUUUUUCAAAAAAUUUUAAACUAUUUUGUGAAGUGGACUUGAAAGUAAUAUUUAAAAUAAAUAUAAUCUGAAUACUUAUUUUGUGGUGC